UACGGAGGAUCCAAGCGUUACCCGGAAUUACUGGGCGUAAAGAGUUGCGUAGGUGGUUCGUUAAGUUUUUGCUUAAAGCUCAAAGCUCAACUUUGAAAUUGGCAGAAAAACUGGCGAACUUGAGGUUAACAGAGGCGAGUGGAAUUUUCGGUGUAGGAGUGAAAUCCGUAGAUACCGAGAGGAACACCAAUGGCGUAGGCAGCUCGCUGGGUUACACCUGACACUAAGGCACGAAAGCGUGGGGAGCGAACCGG
rnacentral:rRNA from 1 species